AGUAAAGUCAGCUAAUAAAGCUAUCGGGCCCAUACCCCGAAAAUGUUGGUUUAAGUCCCUCCUCUACUA
rnacentral:tRNA from 1 species